AGAGUCGAGAAGGCAAAACCGCCUGCAGCGAGGCGGGGUGGGGCGUGGGGGGCGCGGGGAGAAUGGGGUUAAGGUAGUGUCGCUCUCGAGGGGCAGCCCUGGUGUCACCCCCACCCCUCCCACGCUGAAGCCUUGCAGCCGAGCCGUGGCAUCCACGCAAACGGGGCCGUCUCAGCACCUCCAGGCCAGAAUUUAAAUGUUAUUAGCGGCAAUUGAUCUGCUCGGGACUGAGGUUUCGGGUCUUCUGCGGAAUUGGGAGGAGCGUGGAUGGAGAAGGAGGGGCUGCAGUGUGGCGCAGGCUUGGCGGGGGCUGCCUGGCUCUGAGCAGGCUCGUGGGACGGCCCUGUAAGAACCCCACUGCAAGAAAGGCACAGAAGCACCUGAGUUGGCGUCUCAGCAGGGACCCGCCCCCCAAGGAAAUGCCCUUCUAUAGUUGGUACUCAAGCUCUUUACACACUUAGCCAUCGCUACACACAGUCCACGCUUGUGCACCCACACCCACAAGCUUAUGCUCACGUGCACUUUUUUUUUUUUUUUUUUUUUUUUUGAGACGGAGUUUCGCUCUUGUCGGCCAGGCUGUAGUGCAAUGGCGCCAUCUCAGCUCACUGCAACCUCCGCCUUCUGGGUUCUAGAGAUUCUCCUCCCUCAGCCUCUCAAGUAACUGGGAUUACAGGCGCACGCCACCACACCUGGCUAAUUGUUGUAUUUUUAGUAGAGAUGGAGUUUCACCACAUUGGCCAGGCUGGUCUCGAACUCCUGACCUCAAGUGACCCGCCCGCCUUGGCUUCCCAAAGUGCUGGGGUUACAGGCAUGAGCCACCGAGCCCGGCCUCACAAGCGGAUUAUUGAAUGUGUAUGUAUAAUGCUUCUCUCACAGUCAUCCAGCAAACAUGUACAGACCCUGCUCAUGUUUCCACAUAACCAUCCUCAUCUUCCUUUUCUAUCCUUCAGGUCCGCGCGUUUGCCAUCCAUACAUGUUACCAGAUACAGUUAGCUGGAACAUAAUAUGCCCUUUCCUAGCACAUCCAUAUAAACACACACAAUGGAUCUACAUAUGGACAGGCCUAAAAACAGAAUACACAUCCUACAUGACAUGUACACAUGUGCACACA
rnacentral:lncRNA from 1 species